AGCUUUGCGCAGUGGCAAUAUCAUAGGCAAUGAGGUUUAUCCGAGAUGCGAUUAUUGCUAAUAGAAAACCUUCUUGCCUGUCAAGCUUACCUCUUUAAUUUAUUCUAAAUUAUCAUCACUGCUAUUUUUCUUAACAGUUACUUCAUUCUAUGGUACUG
ensembl:snRNA U4 U4 spliceosomal RNA